UAAAUGCAACGCGCCACCUGAUCGGGAA
rnacentral:sRNA from 1 species